rnacentral:rRNA from 2 species
GUCGAACGAGCUUCCGUUGAAUGACGUGCUUGCACUGAUUUCAACAAUGAAGCGAGUGGCGAACUGGUGAGUAACACGUGGGGAAUCUGCCCAGAAGCAGGGGAUAACACUUGGAAACAGGUGCUAAUACCGUAUAACAACAAAAUCCGCAUGGAUUUUGUUUGAAAGGUGGCUUCGGCUAUCACUUCUGGAUGAUCCCGCGGCGUAUUAGUUAGUUGGUGAGGUAAAGGCCCACCAAGACGAUGAUACGUAGCCGACCUGAGAGGGUAAUCGGCCACAUUGGGACUGAGACACGGCCCAAACUCCUACGGGAGGCAGCAGUAGGGAAUCUUCCACAAUGGACGAAAGUCUGAUGGAGCAAUGCCGCGUGAGUGAAGAAGGGUUUCGGCUCGUAAAACUCUGUUGUUAAAGAAGAACACCUUUGAGAGUAACUGUUCAAGGGUUGACGGUAUUUAACCAGAAAGCCACGGCUAACUACGUGCCAGCAGCCGCGGUAAUACGUAGGUGGCAAGCGUUGUCCGGAUUUAUUGGGCGUAAAGCGAGCGCAGGCGGUUUUUUAAGUCUGAUGUGAAAGCCUUCGGCUUAACCGGAGAAGUGCAUCGGAAACUGGGAGACUUGAGUGCAGAAGAGGACAGUGGAACUCCAUGUGUAGCGGUGGAAUGCGUAGAUAUAUGGAAGAACACCAGUGGC